rnacentral:rRNA from 1 species
UACGAAGGGGGGCUAGCGUUGCUCGGAAUCACUGGGCGUAAAGGGUGCGUAGGCGGGUCUUUAAGUCAGGGGUGAAAUCCCGGAGCUCAACUUCGGAACUGCCUUUGAUACUGGCAAUCUAGAGUCCGGAAGAGGUUAGUGGAAUUCCCCAGUGUAGAGGUGAAAUUCGUAGAUAUUGGGAAGAACACCAGUGGCGAAGGCGGCUCACUGGCCCGGUACUGACGCUGAGGCACGAAAGCGUGGGGGAGCAAACAGG